rnacentral:rRNA from 1 species
AUUGAACGCUGGCGGCAGGCCUAACACAUGCAAGUCGAGCGGAGCGGCGGACGGGUGAGUAAUGAAUAGGAAUAUGCCUGGUAGUGGGGGAUAACGUCCGGAAACGGGCGCUAAUACCGCAUACUAUCAGAUGAGCCUAGGUCGGAUUAGCUAGUUGGUGGGGUAAAGGACUACCAAGGCGACGAUCCGUAACUGGUCUGAGAGGAUGAUGAGUCAUACUGGAACUGAGACACGGUCCAGACGCCUACGUGAGGCAGCAGUGGGGAAUAUUGGACAAUGGGCGGAAGCCUGAUCCAGCCAUGCCGCGUGUGUGAAGAAGGUCUUCGGAUUGUAAAGCCCUUUAAGUUGGGAGGCGUUACCAUCAGAAUAAGCACCGGCUAACUUCGUGCCAGCCGCCGCGGUAAUUC